UAGCUCUCCAAAUUGUGGCUUUAUUAAAAAAACAAUACUCCUUAGAACAAAACCCUAGUUCCCCCCAGAUCUCAGAUCCGCUCCUAUCACUCUCUCACUCUCCGUUUCUCCCUUCUCACCCUCUCACUCAGACGACGCCAGCCUCCACCACGAACCGCCUCCACCGCUACAGCCGCCGACGCCGCCGUCGACGUUGCGUUGCCACUGCCUCCCCUGCGAAGACGCCGACGCUGCCACCACCUCUGGCCCAGCCCUCACCGUUGAAAGUCCCACUGCCUCGCCACUCACCAGUCUACCACGGUGCUGCGCUGCUGCCAGUCCACCGCCUCCCACUGCAUCGCCUCCGCCUGUCCGCCUCUGCCUCGGCCCUCGUCAGUCGCCUCGAGCCCUCGACACCAGCCACCGCCCACCAGGCACUACUUUAUGCAUAUCCAUUUGAUGUAGAGGCACAAAAGAAAAUUGAAGUAGCAAUCCGGCAAUAUAAUCUUGGGGAGCAUAAAUCUCAAGCUUUGGAUGAUAAAUUGCAGGCUUUGGACACAAAAGAAGAUGAAGUGUCAUAAAUCUCACUUGGUUUCUCAUUCAUCAUUUUUCAAGACAGGUUGGCACUUUAGAGAACAUUAUCAAGCACUCUCAGCUUGAGAUCAUUGAGCUUAAACAUUCACUAGAAGAGCAAAGGUACCUUCUGUUCAUCUUUGGUUGUAUUGGCUUGAUGCUAUAUGAUUAAAGAGUAAACUCCAUAAUUCUAUGAGGAUUCUGUCAUGAAUAUCUCAACAGAAAAACCAGUGUUGGUUUGGGUGUCUGUUUGCUAAAUUGAUGACAAUGGCUGACACUUGGAAAGAUUCAAUUUUUCUAUGAGCAUUUUGUUUUUGUUUUUUUUUUUUUUUUUUUUUUUGUUUUUCCUUUUUGGGGAUGAAUGUAUUGUAUUGUUUCUUGACUUCUAAAAUUCACCAUCAAACUCUUGAAUGGUUUAGAAUGAGUUAUCCAGAAUGUAUAAGAAGUUAAAUUCUAGAAUGUUUUAAAUUUUCAAUUGUACAUUCAUAAAUGAAUUCUCUUCAUGAAA